ACUAGGAUGGCUGAGUGGUUAAGGCGUUGGUCUUAAGUACCAAUGGGCUGAAGCCCUUGUGGGUUCGAACACCACUCCUAGUA